rnacentral:rRNA from 1 species
GACGAGGGAUCCUAGCGUUGUUCGGAAUCAUUGGGCGUAAAGCGGGUGUAGGCGGACUUAUAAGUCAGGUGUGAAAUCCCAGGGCUCAACCCUGGAAGUGCACUUGAUACUGUAAGUCUUGAGUGUGGUAGAGGCUAUUAGAAUUCCUGGUGUAGUGGUGAAAUACGUAGAUAUCAGGAGGAAUACCGGAGGCGAAGGCGGAUAGCUGGGCCAACACUGACGCUGAGACCCGAAAGCGUGGGGAUCAAACAGG